rnacentral:rRNA from 1 species
UACCUGCUGGAACUUAAGCAUAUCAAUAAGCGGAGGAAAAGAAACUAACAAGGAUUCCCCUAGUAACUGCGAGUGAAGCGGGAAGAGCUCAAAUUUAAAAUCUGGCGUGCCUCUGGCCGCCCGAGUUGUAGUCUGGAGAAGCGUUUUCCGUGUUGGACCGUGUAUAAGUCUCUUGGAACAGGGCGUCAUAGAGGGUGAGAAUCCCGUCUUUGACACGGACUACCAAUGCUUUGUGAUGCGCUCUCAAAGAGUCGAGUUGUUUGGGAAUGCAGCUCAAAAUGGGUGGUAAAUUCCAUCUAAAGCUAAAUAUAGGCGAGAGACCGAUAGCGAACAAGUACCGUGAGGGAAAGAUGAAAAGCACUUUGGAAAGAGAGUUAAACAGUACGUGAAAUUGCUGAAAGGGAAACGCUUGAAGUCAGUCAUGUUUGCCAGGACUCAGCCUUGCUUCUGCUUGGUGCACUUUCUGGUUUGAUGGGCCAACAUCAAUUUCGACCGUUGGAGAAAGGCUUUGGGAACGUGGCACCUUCGGGUGUGUUAUAGCCCUUUGUUGUAUACAACGGUUGGGAUUGAGGACCGCAGCACGCCUUCAUGGCCGGGGUUCGUCCCACGUACGUGCUUACGAUGUUGGCAUAAUGGCUUUAAGCGACCCGUCUUG